rnacentral:rRNA from 1 species
GACGAACGCUGGCGGCGUGCUUAACACAUGCAAGUCGAACGGAACGGCCCUUCGGGGUACUCGAGUGGCGAACGGGUGAGUAACACGUGGGUGUUCUGCCCUGCUCUUUGGGAUAAGCCUGGGCAACUGGGUCUAAUACCGAAUAGGCCAAAGCGCUAUCUGGUUUGUGGUGGCCAGCUUUUGCGGUGUGGGAUGGGCCCGCGGCAUCUCAGCUUGUUGGGGGGGUAUUGGCCUACCAAGGCGACGAGGGGCAGCAUGCCUGCGAUGGGGACAUGCCACGCUGGGACUGAGAUGCGACCCAGACUACAACGGGAGGCAGCGGAGAGGAAGAGAGCACUAGGGGCGGAAGCCUGAUGCAGCGACGCCGCGUGGGGUAUGACGGGCAGCGGUUUGUAAUCCUCUUUCAAUAGGGACGAAGCGCAAGUGACGGUACCGAUAGAAGAAGCACCGGCCAACUACGUG